UACGGGGGGGGCAAGCGUUGUUCGGAAUUACUGGGCGUAAAGGGCUCGUAGGCGGCCAACUAAGUCAGACGUGAAAUCCCUCGGCUUAACCGGGGAACUGCGUCUGAUACUGGAUGGCUUGAGUUUGGGAGAGGGAUGCGGAAUUCCAGGUGUAGCGGUGAAAUGCGUAGAUAUCUGGAGGAACACCGGUGGCGAAGGCGGCAUCCUGGACCAACACUGACGCUGAGUGAUCGAAAGCCAGGGGAGCAAACGGG
rnacentral:rRNA from 1 species